CUACGGGAGGCAGCAGUGGGGAAUAUUGGACAAUGGGGGCAACCCUGAUCCAGCCAUGCCGCGUGAGUGAAGAAGGCCUUCGGGUUGUAAAGCUCUUUCAGAUGCGAAGAUGAUGANGGUAACAUCAGAAGAAGCCCCGGCUAAUUUCGUGCCAGCAGCCGCGGUAAUACGAAAGGGGCUAGCGUUGUUCGGAUUUACUGGGCGUAAAGGGCACGCAAGCGGUCUUGCCAGUCAGGGGUGAAAGCCCGAGGCUCAACCUCGGAACUGCCUCUGAUACUGUAAGACUUGAGACUAGGAGAGGGUGGUGGAAUUCCCAGUGUAGAGGUGAAAUUCGUAUAUAUUGGGAGGAACACCAGAGGCGAAGGCGGCCACCUGGACUAGAUCUGACGCUCAGGUGCGAAAGCGUGGGGAGCAAACAGGAUUAGAUACCCUGGUAGUCCACGCCGUAAACGAUGAGUGCUAGUUGUCGGGACUUCGGUUU
rnacentral:rRNA from 2 species